GACGAACGCUGGCGGCGUGCUUAACACAUGCAAGUCGAACGGAAAGGCCCUGCUUUUGUGGGGUGCUCGAGUGGCGAACGGGUGAGUAACACGUGAGUAACCUGCCCUUGACUUUGGGAUAACUUCAGGAAACUGGGGCUAAUACCGGAUAGGAGCUCCUGCUGCAUGGUGGGGGUUGGAAAGUUUCGGCGGUUGGGGAUGGACUCGCGGCUUAUCAGCUUGUUGGUGGGGUAGUGGCUUACCAAGGCUUUGACGGGUAGCCGGCCUGAGAGGGUGACCGGCCACAUUGGGACUGAGAUACGGCCCAGACUCCUACGGGAGGCAGCAGGGGGGAAUAUUGCACAAUGGGCGGAGGCCUGAUGCAGCAACGCCGGGUGCGGGAUGACGGCCUUCGGGUUGAAAACCGCUUUCGCCUGUGACGAAGCGUGAGUGACGGUAAUGGGUAAAGAAGCACCGGCUAACUACGUG
rnacentral:rRNA from 1 species